rnacentral:lncRNA from 1 species
UUUCAGCUCUUUCUUUCUACCCCCUUGAAUGCGGCCACUAGAACAUCUUUAAAGGGCCCACAGGCUCCCGUCCCGCCUCCACCGGCAGCGCCGCCCAGGCACGCCCCGAGGCGGCCCGCAGCCCCGUGUCCCCGUGUCCCCGCGUCCCCAGCGGCCCAGCCCGCCGAGGUUGGAGGCCGGGCGCUCCGGGGGCACCGGGUCCGCCCCAGGCUGACGCCCAGCAGCAGCCACGGCGGCAGAGGCAGGCACCCGAGGGGAGGGGUGACUCCGCAGGGCGCGGUGACCUUGCGGCGACCCUCGCGGGCCAGGCCUGGGGCAGGGGUGACAGGCGGGCCCCGCCGCGGCCGUGGGCACCCCGCACUCUGGGUCUCCCGGUCGUCCCCGCCCGGGACCCGAGCUGGGGAGGCGGGUGGCGCGACCACGUGGCCUGCCCAAGGUCGCCCGGGCCGGCGGGCGGGCGGUCGGGCGCACGCGGCGCCCCCACGGGGCCCAGGGCCACCCCGCCCCCAGCCGCGCCGGCCCGGGCCCUACUUGACGCUCGGCGAUCCAGAAGCGCACGUUGGGCUCCAUGAGGGCGCCGCCGCCCGGCCCCCGCCUCCCCGCCUCCGGCUCCGCUCCCCGGGACCCGCGUCGGGCCGCAGAGGCAGCGGCCGCCGGGCCCGCGCGGAGGAGGAGCAGCCGGCAGCGUGCCCCGCCCCGGGCGCGCGCGCGUCCCCGGUUCCCGCCGCCCGGUCCCGGCGCGCCCGCGGCUCCGGGGCUCCGCGGCUCCGCGGCUCCGCGUGGCCGGGGGCGGGCCCGGUGUUCCCGCUGCCUGCUGUCCCCGUGCCACCCCCACGCACCGAGCCUUCCCAACCUCACCUACCGGCUAGGGUGGCUGCGCCGCUUCCAGGCCCUUCCAGGCCCUUCCAGGCCGGGGCGGUCGCCCGUGCGAAGCCCCGCAUCACAGCCCCACUGAGAAGAACCUGCGUCUUACCGGGAGGACAGGUGCACCAACCUCUUGGGACAUCACCGUGGAAAAUCUUCAGUUGCCCUUAA